ensembl:lncRNA
CUCAUCAUAAAUCAACAAGCAAACAAAAAAAUCCACUAUCAGUAUUCCUGAGACCUGGCUACAAAGGCAGGACUGUGGAUUUGAAACGUCACGCGGCAACUAUGUGAAUAUUCAGAAUAAUCUGUCAUUUGUUUGCAUGCUCUGACUUCCUCCAUUAGGACAACACUGAUAAUCAGAGCGUUUGGCCCUUCCACAGAGCUUUUAACACAGGAAAGCCAUAGAAAGAGUUAAACAAGGUUUAAUUCUCUGGAAUGCCCACACCCCGGUGUGGGAUCAUCUUGUCAGCAGGGAGCGACGUUCCAGCAAAGGUUCUGCAUGGACAGAAGUGGUACUGUGAGCCCGGUUGGACGGCACACCUCACUGCGAGGCUCUGAGAAAUGAGCAGACCCAAUGCACAUCCGAGAGGGCGUUAUUAUUUUCCCAAUUAAGACACUUAAUUAGCACUGCGGUGUGCCACCUUCAUCGUAUUUUCAGUCUCACAGCGGCCUAUUUUCAUCCAUCCACCACGCUAAAAGCGUUGCUCUUUCAUUACCCCUCCGUGAGUACACAGCUCUGACGAACCCGGCACUUCAUCCGCGGGGAUAAAAGUUUCGCGGCUCCCGACAGCGGCUCUCAAAGGCAGCCUUUCUUUUCAGAACGGCUCCCGAACCCACUCUAUUUGCACUCCAUGCCCUCGGAGCCGCCGAGCCCCGCGGAGGGCCCGCACACGGUGACACUCCGUCAUUAUCCCCACUUCCUUCUCCUGCGCAUUCCAU